GCACUGGUGGAUCAGUGGUAGAGUUCCUGCUUUCCACGCGAGAGGCUCAGGUUCACUUCCUGAUCAGUGCU
rnacentral:tRNA from 1 species